rnacentral:rRNA from 1 species
UACGGAGGGUGCGAGCGUUGCUCGGAAUCACUGGGCGUAAAGCGCACGUAGGCGGAUUGCUAAGUCAGGGGUGAAAUCCUGGAGCUCAACUCCAGAACUGCCUUUGAUACUGGCGACCUUGAGUCCGGGAGAGGUGAGUGGAACUGCGAGUGUAGAGGUGAAAUUCGUAGAUAUUCGCAAGAACACCAGUGGCGAAGGCGGCUCACUGGCCCGGUACUGACGCUGAGGUGCGAAAGCGUGGGGAGCAAACAGG